UGUUAAAAAUUUUAUCCACUUGUAGUGUUAAAAACUAGCAUGGCUAACAGAAUAAUUAGAUAUAAUACGUGGCAUGCCAUGUGCAUAUCAUAUUGACAUACAAUGACCCAUUUUUAACAGUAAAAAUGGAUAAAAUUUUUAAUA
rfam:Gossypium hirsutum cultivar TM-1 unplaced genomic scaffold scaffold666.1, whole genome shotgun sequence